AGCGAACGCUGGCGGCAGGCUUAACACAUGCAAGUCGAGCGCGUGUAGCAAUACACGAGCGGCAGACGGGAGAGUAACACGUGGGAACGUACCCUUUGGUUCGGAAUAAUCCAGGGAAACUUGGACUAAUACCGGAUAAGCCCUUACGGGGAAAGGAUUUAUCGCCGAAGGAUCGGCCCGCGUCUGAUUAGCUAGUUGGUGAGGUAACGGCUCACCAAGG
rnacentral:rRNA from 1 species